UUCCAACCCCUGUGACAUACCACUUGUUGCCUCGGCGGAUCAGCCCGCUCCCGGUAAAACGGGACGGCCCGCCAGAGGACCCCUAAACUCUGUUUCUAUAUGUAACUUCUGAGUAAAACCAUAAAUAAAUCAAAACUUUCAACAACGGAUCUCUUGGUUCUGGCAUCGAUGAAGAACGCAGCAAAAUGCGAUAAGUAAUGUGAAUUGCAGAAUUCAGUGAAUCAUCGAAUCUUUGAACGCACAUUGCGCCCGCCAGUAUUCUGGCGGGCAUGCCUGUUCGAGCGUCAUUUCAACCCUCAAGCACAGCUUGGUGUUGGGACUCGCGUUAAUUCGCGUUCCCCAAAUUGAUUGGCGGUCACGUCGAGCUUCCAUAGCGUAGUAGUAAAACCCUCGUUACUGGUAAUCGUCGCGGCCACGCCGUUAAACCCCAACUUCUGAAUGUUGACCUCGGAUCAGGUAGGAAUACCCGCUGAACUUAAGCAUAUCAAUAAGCGGAGGA
rnacentral:rRNA from 1 species